rnacentral:rRNA from 1 species
CUCUUCGGGGAUGAUUAAACCGGCGCACGGGUGAGUCACACGUGAGUGACCUGCCUUUUAGACUGGAACAACUUACCGAAAGGUGAGCUAAUGCCGGAUGAGUUAUAUAAGUGCAUGUUUAUAUAGGAAAAGUUGGGGAGACCUGACGCUGAAAGAUGGACUCGCGUCCCAUUAGCUAGUUGGUAGGGUAAUGGCCUACCAAGGCGACGAUGGGUAGCCGGCCUGAGAGGGUGGCCGGCCACACUGGGACUGAGACACGGCCCAGACUCCUACGGGAGGCAGCAGUGGGGAAUUUUGCGCAAUGCUCGUAAGAGUGACGCAGCGACGCCGCGUGAAUGACGAAGGCCUUCGGGUCGUAAAGUUCUUUCGACAGGGAAGAAAAUGCCUAUAAGUAACUGUGUAUGUAUUGACGGUACCUGUAUAAGCAGCCCCGGCUAACUCCGUGCCAGCAGCCGCGGUAAUACGGAGGGGGCGAGCGUUGUUCGGAGUGACUGGGCGUAAAGAGCACGUAGGCGGUGUUGUAAGUCAUUAGUCAAAGACUAGAGCUCAACUUUAGUAAGGCUAGUGAUACUAUAAUACUAGAGUAUCAGAGAGGAUUGCAGAAUUCCUGGUGUAGCGGUGAAAUGCGUAGAUAUCAGGAGGAAUACCGUUAGCGAAGGCGGCAAUCUGGCUGGAAACUGACGCUGAGGUGCGAAAGCGUGGGUAGCAAACAGGAUUAGAUACCCUGGUAGUCCACGCUGUAAACGAUGGAUGCUAGGUGUUGGGCUUUUAAGUUCAGUGCCG